CAAGUUAGAAACAGUAAGAGAUUAAGAAUAACUAAUAACAAAGUAGAGCAACUAUAACAACACUAAUAAAAGCUAUGCAUCUGUGGUCUCUCAAAAUAUUUUACUGUACUGUACUCACCUGUCUUCAUCUUGUGAUGACAUAACAUGCCUUUGUGAUGCCACAACCUGUGAUGAGAGGAAGUGAGGUAAAUGAUGUAGGCACCACUAGCACUGUGACACUGUGUCAACCAGAUAACAAAGACAGCCAGUAAGGGACUAACAGGCAGGAGCAUAUACAGCAUGGAUAUGUCAGACAGAGGGAUGGACUGGGCAGGAUGAAGCAGGAUGGUGCAAGAUAUUAUCAUGCUACUCAGAAAGGACUGUUCUGGAAGGCUGGUGUCACUCAGCAGCCCCCACCUUGAAGAUGAGCAGAGCCCAGGCUCCAUGCCUCAAGGCCUCCCGAGGGAUAACCAGGUGGCCUUUCCCUCCAAAGCCACCAGGGUGAGGUGUGAGGCCCAGGUCUGGCCCAUGCUGCACAUGUCACAUAGCAAGAGGAAGUGAGAAGAGAAUGAGCAUUAGGGCUGCAGGUAGGAGCUGUCAGGAGUCCAGCGAAUACAAUGAUAAAAACUGCCUCAUUUCAGUUGGACGGAAUCCAUGGUGCAUUAGUGAUGUAUGCAGAGGGAGCAGGCUGGAAAGUGCAGUUCUUCUUUGCUUCCCCAUGGUUUAAUCUUUGUCUUCUUCUAGGGGCAAUAAAAAAAAGAAAAACUUCAA
ensembl:lncRNA